UAUUAUAUUAUAUUAUAUUAUUAUAACAAAAAGUUAAAGAAAAACAAAUAAAAAUAAAAGAAAGCAACAAAGGGAGAAAAGAAACAGAAUAGCUAGAAAAGAACAGAGGAAGAGACGAAGGCAGGGGAAAGAAAGAUAAAAGGGAAACUUUGGGAUUUGAAGCUUGAAGUUCAAUAGGUAAGCUAAAUCAAGUCCUUUUCUCAUAAAAUUUGAUGUUUUUGGAAUCCUAGAGUGAAAUACUCUUGGAUUUAAGUUGAAAAUUUGAAAGUUAAUAGAUUUUUUAGUAGGGUUUAUGUUGAAUAAAUGAUGGAAUUGAGGGUUUAUUUGAUAGAGUUUCUAGCUAGAUUUGAUAAAAGGAUUAAAUUGUGAACUAAACUAUAAGUUUUGAAUUGUAGGGAUUAAAUUGAGGAAAUUCGAAAUUAGUGAAAUAUGCUGAAAAAUUUAUAGUUAAAUUUGAGUUUGGAUGAAAUUUGAAUAGAAAUAGAAUGUGAAUUGAAGUGAAUUAGAAAAGUAAGUGAAUUUAGUUAGGAUUAAAUUGAGAAUAAGGAAGAAAUUGAAUAGAAAUUCAAUUAUUUAUUAUAAUCAGUGCUGUAAUUAAUAGUAUAAAUUAUUAUUAUUUCCGUAGCUAACAAAGAACCCGAGGCAUCAGCAUCAAAGGGAAAGGAGAAGAUUAUCGAGAGGAAUAAACUCGAGAAAAUCACGGUUUGUAUUACUAUAAUUCAAGUUAUUUAUUAUUAAAUGUAGAUUUUAAUUUAUGAGGUUGGUAAAUGGAAUGUGAGGUAAGUAGUAUUAUUAUUAAUAUUAUUAGUGUGAAUUAAAUUGAAUAUUUAAAAUGAAUUAAUAUUUGAAUUGUUUGUUGAUUGAAAGCGGAAAGUGAAUUUGAAUCGAAUUGUGACUGAUAUUAAAUUGAAUGGAAAUGUAUUGAAUUGUGAAAAUGUGUGAAUUUGUGGACGAAUUAUCGAUUGAAAGGUGGAAAUGUGAUUGAAUUGAAAAUGUGAGAAAUUGUGAUUUAAAUACCCUAUUAACUAGUCGGGCUGAGUCGGAUAUAAUUGGCAUGCCAUAGGAUUUGGAAGAGUACGGGAUUUAUCGGCUUUGCCGAUCAGGCACUUUAUGUGUCGAAUCUCAGGCACUUUAUGUGUCGUAUCUCAGGCACUUUAUGUGUCAUAUCAGGCACCUCGUGUGUCGUUUCAGACACUUAUGUGUCGUAUACUGAUCAGGUACUAUGUACCGUUUUAGGCACAAUGUGCCGUACUGGUGUGUUUGGUUGGAAUCCGUGUAUCCGCCAAAGUCCGAGUUUUGUUAAUAGGGUAAUUAAUGAAAUGAUAAACCGAACGAGUUGAUCGAACGAGCUACUGAAAUGAAAUGAAAAGUUGAAUUGUGAAUUGAAAUGUGAAAUGAGAUUGAGAAUUGAAUCUAAAGUUUAUGAUAUGUUCAAUUUCAAAUUGUGGAUAUGUGAUAUUGAUUGAUAUAUUGUUAUUGUUGAAAUAUUGAAUUAAUAUUUGUAUAUAAGAUUUAUGCAUUAUAUAUUUAUUAUUGUUAUAAUUUGAAUUAUAGUAAUACCACUGAGUAUGAAUUACUCAGCGUACGGUUGUUUCCGUGCGCAGGUCGAUAGAAGUCAAAAGUCCCGGUUCAGCAUCCAGAUAAAUCCCGACUUCAACAAAACUUGGUGAUGUAUUCUUUCAUUGGUAAAGGUGGCAUGUACAUAUAUUGUGCAUAAAUGUUAUUAUGUUUUAAUAUAAAUGGUUAGUUAAGAUUAUGUUUUGGUGUUAUAUAUGUGUAAAUGGUAACUAGUUCAAAGAAGCAGUUACGUGAAUGUGAAAAAUCACUAUAAAUAGUAGAAAUGGAAUUAGAGAGUGAAUGAUAUAUAGAAUUAAAGCUUAUCAAGUCUAUUUUUACAGGAAAUAAAUGGUGUAGGAAAAAAAGAAUUUUAUAUUCUGAUAUAUUAGAGUUUUAGUGAGACGGGGUCAAAACUGUUUUGGAGUCCCCUGUUCUGAGUUGAGAAAAUCAUUAAAAAUGGUACAAAUAUAGUUAUGAGUUGUAGUUUAUAUGUAUAGAAUCCUUAUUGAGUCUAUUUUCUGUAGAAACAAGUAAUAACUUCAUAUGAAAAUACUACAAUGAGAAAUUUUAUUUUUAGUGACAAGAGGUCAGGG
rnacentral:lncRNA from 1 species